UCCUAUGAUGGCAUGUAAUCUUUGAGACCUGAUUUUAUUACUGAUGAAACGCUUUAAGCAUUUUUACGCUGAGGAU
rnacentral:snoRNA from 1 species